rnacentral:rRNA from 1 species
GGUUGAUAGGCCAGAUGUGGAAGCCCGGUAACGGGUGGAGCUGACUGGUACUAAUAGGCCGAGGGCUUGUCCU